AUUGAAGUAUUUAUUAAUUGAAAAUUUAUGGGGGUAAUAUUUUUAAUUUAAAUAAAAUAUGGUUUUAUUAUUACUAGGGAACAAAUUAUUUUUUAUUAUAGGGAAAUAGUAUUGUGAAAGAAAAUUUAAUUAAAUUUUUUAAAGAAAAAUUAAUUUUUUGUACCUUGUGUAUCAGGGUUUAUUAAUUUUAUUAUUUUAGGUUAAAUUUUCUCGAAUUUAAAAGAGCUAAAAUUUUAUAAAUUUUAUUGUGGAAUAAAUAUUUAUAAUAAAAUUUUUGAAAUGAAACGUUAUUCGUUUUUAAAUAUAUCUAGUUUUUUGAGAAAAAAAUUUAAUUUGUUAUUUAUUUAGUAAUAAUUCAUUUUGUUGAAUUUUUAUUGUUAAUUAGUUAUAUUUUUAGGGAUAAGCUUAAAAAUAAAUUUUUAUAAAUUUUAUUUUUGUUUACUAUUUGUAGGAUUAGAAAUUUUUAUCAUUAGGAAAAUGUUAUAAUUUAUGGGGGGGUUUAUAUUUUUUAUAUAAAAUUUUAAAUUUUAUAUCAAAAUAUAAAUUUAAAUUAUAAAAAUUUAGUAAUAAUGAUAAAAUUAGUAUAAAAUUUUUUUUAUUUAAUAAAUUUAAUUAUAAAGGUUUUUAAAAGGAAUUCGGCAAAUUAUUUCUCACCUGUUUAUUAAAAACAUGGCCUUUUGAUUAUAUUUAAGGUCUAGCCUGCCCAAUGAAUUAAUUUUUAAAUGGCCGCGGUAUUUUGACUGUGCAAAGGUAGCAUAAUCAUUAGUUUUUUAAUUGAAAGCUAGAAUGAAUGGCUGAAUGAGGAAAUUACUGUCUCUUAAAAAUUUUAUUAGAAUUUUAUUUUUAAGUUAAAAAGCUUAAAUAAUUCUUAAAGACGAGAAGACCCUUUAGAAUUUUAUAAAAAUUAGAAUUUUAAAAUUUAGGUAUUAAUAUUUUAUUAUUUUAAUUUUUAUUUGAUUGGGGCGAUUGAAAAAUUUAAAAAACUUUUUUUACUAUAAAUCAUUGAUUUAUGAGUAUUUGAUCCAUAAUUUAUGAUUAAAAGAAUAAAUUACCUAAGGGAUAACAGCGUUAUUUUUUUAGAGAGUUCUUAUCGAUAAAAAAGAUUGCGACCUCGAUGUUGGAUUAAAAUUAAAUUAUGGUGCAGAAGCUAUAACUUUAGGUCUGUUCGACCUUUAAAAUUUUACAUGAUCUGAGUUUAAACCGGUGUGAGCCAGGUUGGUUUCUAUCUUAAGUCAAUAAAAAUGUUAUAGUACGAAAGGACCUAAUAUUUUUUUUAUAAAAUUUCACUAGACUGUCAUUA
rnacentral:rRNA from 1 species